GAUGAACGCUGGCGGCGUGCUUAACACAUGCAAGUCGAACGGAAAGGCCAGUGCUUGCACUGGUACUCGAGUGGCGAACGGGUGAGUAACACGUGGGUGAUCUGCCCUGUACUUCGGGAUAAGCUUGGGAAACUGGGUCUAAUACCGGAUAGGACAACUUUUUGGAUAUUGUUGUGGAAAGCUUUUGCGGUAUGGGAUGAGCUCGCGGCCUAUCAGCUUGUUGGUGGGGUAAUGGCCUACUAAGGCGUCGACGGGUAGCCGGCCUGCGAGGGUGUACGGCCACAUUGGGACUGAGAUACGGCCCAGACUCCUACGGGAGGCAGCAGUGGGGAAUAUUGCACAAUGGGCGCAAGCCUGAUGCAGCGACGCCGCGUGGGGGAUGAAGGCCUUCGGGUUGUAAACUCCUUUCGCUAGGGACGAAGCGCAAGUGACGGUACCUGGAGAAGAAGCACCGGCUAACUACGUG
rnacentral:rRNA from 1 species